rnacentral:rRNA from 1 species
UACGGAGGAUUCAAGCGUUAUCCGGAUUUAUUGGGUUUAAAGGGUGCGUAGGCUGUUAGUUAAGUUAGAGGUGAAAUCCCGUGGCUCAACCACGGAACUGCCUCUGAUACUGGCUAGCUAGAGAAUAGCUGCUGUGGGCGGAAUGUGUGGUGUAGCGGUGAAAUGCUUAGAGAUCACACAGAACACCGAUUGCGAAGGCAGCUCACAAAGCUAUAUCUGACGCUGAGGCACGAAAGCGUGGGGAGCAAACAGG